UGGGAUGAGUGGCUUGUAAUCAAAGCUGAAAACUUGAGUGAGAUUGUUGAGAUUUGGAUGCUGAACAACAAGUGUCCACUGCGUGUAAUUCACGAGGUAGUUAAAAUUGAUAAUGGAAAUCUUCACGCGCCAGUAAUCCUUGUAGUUGAGCUUCACAUGCCAAUGCACCCUGACAGGGCACAUGUGUUGUGUGCACAGCAGUAAUGGGGUAUUGUCUUGUGUAG
rnacentral:misc_RNA from 1 species